GACGAACGCUGGCGGCGUGCUUAACACAUGCAAGUCGAACGGAAAGGCCCUGCUUUUGUGGGGUGCUCGAGUGGCGAACGGGUGAGUAACACGUGAGUAACCUGCCCUUGACUUUGGGAUAACUUCAGGAAACUGGGGCUAAUACCGGAUAGGAGUUCCGGCGGCAUGGUGGGGGUUGGAAAGUUUCGGCGGUUGGGGAUGGACUCGCGGCUUAUCAGCUUGUUGGUGGGGUAGUGGCUUACCAAGGCUUUGACGGGUAGCCGGCCUGAGAGGGUGACCGGCCACAUUGGGACUGAGAUACGGCCCAGACUCCUACGGGAGGCAGCAGUGGGGAAUAUUGCACAAUGGGCGGAAGCCUGAUGCAGCAACGCCGCGUGCGGGAUGACGGCCUUCGGGUUGUAAACCGCUUUCGCCUGUGACGAAGCGUGAGUGACGGUAAUGGGUAAAGAAGCACCGGCUAACUACGUG
rnacentral:rRNA from 1 species